rnacentral:rRNA from 1 species
GGAGGCAGCAGUGGGGAAUAUUGGACAAUGGGCGAAAGCCUGAUCCAGCAACGCCGCGUGAGGGAUGACGGCCUUCGGGUUGUAAACCUCUUUCACCUGUGACGAAGCGGAAGUGACGGUAGCAGGAGAAGAAGCACCGGCCAACUACGUGCCAGCAGCCGCGGUAAUACGUAGGGUGCGAGCGUUGUCCGGAAUUAUUGGGCGUAAAGGGCUCGUAGGCGGUUUGUCGCGUCGGGAGUGAAAACUCAGGGCUUAACUCUGAGCCUGCUUCCGAUACGGGCAGACUAGAGGUAUGCAGGGGAGAACGGAAUUCCUGGUGUAGCGGUGAAAUGCGCAGAUAUCAGGAGGAACACCGGUGGCGAAGGCGGUUCUCUGGGCAUUACCUGACGCUGAGGAGCGAAAGUGUGGGGAGCGAACAGGAUUAGAUACCCUGGUAGUCCACACCGUAAACGUUGGGCGCUAGGUGUGGGACUCAUUCCACGAGUUCCGUGCCGCAGCUAACGCAUUAAGCGCCCCGCCUGGGGAGUACGGCCGCAAGGCUAAAACUCAAAUGAAUUGACGGAA